rnacentral:tRNA from 1 species
GUUUUUGUGGUGUAGAAGCACGAAAGGUUUUCAAUUUUUAAGAGUAAUUAUUAUUAUCAAAAAUA